rnacentral:rRNA from 1 species
ACGAACCGGGCGAACGAUGUUCGGAAUCACUGGGCUUAAAGGGCGCGUAGGCGGUCUGCCAAGUCCGGGGUGAAAGCCCCCAGCUCAACUGGGGAAGUGCCUUGGAUACUGGCGGACUCGAGCGAGGCAGGGGUCGUGGGAACUUCCGGUGGAGCGGUGAAAUGCGUUGAUAUCGGAAGGAACGCCGGUGGCGAAAGCGCACGACUGGUCCUCUUCUGACGCUGAGGCGCGAAGGUCAGGGGAGCAAACGGG